rnacentral:ncRNA from 2 species
GGAUUGAGCCGUGGCGAUUUGCGGCGUAUUGCGGCCACGUUAAACAACCGCUAAAAAGCCAGACCCCGUACAGG